UUCCAGACUCCUACGGGAGGCAGCAGUGAGGAAUAUUGGUCAAUGGGAGAGAUCCUGAACCAGCCAAGCCGCGUGAGGGAAGACGGCCCUAUGGGUUGUAAACCUCUUUUGUCGGAGAACAAAACCCGGGACGUGUCCCGGACUGCGUGUAUCCGAAGAAAAAGCAUCGGCUAACUCCGUGCCAGCAGCCGCGGUAAUACGGAGGAUGCGAGCGUUAUCCGGAUUUAUUGGGUUUAAAGGGUGCGCAGGCGGCCUGUUAAGUGAGCGGAAAAAGCCGGGGGCUCACCCCGGGCGAGCCGUUGAAACUGGCUUGCUAGAGUGGGCGAGAAGUAUGCGGAAUGCGUGGUGUAGCGGUGAAAUGCAUAGAUAUCACGCAGAACCCCGAUUGCGAAGGCAGCAUGCCGGCUUCCGACUGACGCUGAAGCACGAAAGCGUGGGGAUCGAACAGGAUUAGAUACCCUGGUA
rnacentral:rRNA from 1 species